rnacentral:rRNA from 1 species
UAGAUCGUGCGUUCUACGUGGAUAACUGUGGUAAUUCUAGAGCUAAUACAUGCAACUGGCCCUAACUUUACGGAGGGGCGCUUUUAUUAGAUCAAAAUCAAUCGGCUUCGGCCGUUUUUGUGAUGACUCUGGAUAACUUUGUGCCGGCCGCAUGGCCUUGUGCCGGCGGCGUAUCUUUCAAAUGUCUGCCCUGUCAACUUUCGAUGGUAGGUGACAUGCCUACCAUGGUUGUAACGGGUAACGGACAACAGGGUUCGAUUCCGGAGAGGGAGCCUGAGAAACGGCUACCACAUCCAAGGAAGGCAGCAGGCGCGCAAAUUACCCACUCCCGGCACGGGGAGGUAGUGGCGAAAAAUAACAAUGCUGAUUUUAAAUUCGGUAAUUGGAAUGAGUACACUUUAAAUCCUUUAACGAGGAUCUAGUGGAGGGCAAGUCUGGUGCCAGCAGCCGCGGUAAUUCCAGCUCCACGAGCAUGUACGUAAGUUGUUGCAGUUAAAAAGCUCGUAGUUGGAUCUCGGACCUGUGACCGGUGGUCUGCCCGAUUCGGGUAUGUACUGCCGUGUCCGGUCUACGUCUGGUAAUAUUGCAUAGUGCUCUUAACCGGGUGCUAUGUAAUGCCAGAAAGUUUACUGUGGGAAAAUUAGAGUGCUUAAGGCAGGCCUUGUGCUUGAAUACUGUUGCAUGGAAUAAUGGAAUAGGACCUCGGAUCUAUUUUGUUGGUUUUCGGAGUCGAGGUAAUGAUUAAGAGGGACAGACGGGGCAC